rnacentral:lncRNA from 1 species
AUGUAUUCAAAACUGCUACAAGACAUAACUUAACAAAUUGUAAUUUCCGAAUUAAAAUCCACUAGAAAUAAUUAACCUAAGUACAUAAUCAUGAAAAUUACACUUUCAACCUCAUACAAAAUGCUCAAACAUGGUAGGCGUGUGUCCGUCAUGCAUGUAAAACCAGCAAACUGUUAGAAAAGGCGAAUUUCUGGUUCACUUCUUCCCUCCACCAGAAACAUUGAACUUGAAAAAUAUAAUGUCUGCAUCUUGUACCACAUAUGUUUUACCCUCCUGUUUAUAUUUUCCAGCAGCCUAACAAAUAAUACAACAAAGACCAACAAGUGGUUAGGUCCCUAGAUGUUAGACCUAGGUUAAGUGGAUCCUAGUUUAGCUACAAUUAACCUAAAAUGUUAUAUCUGAAAUAUUGUUUCAAUUUUUUGUUUUAUCUGAACAUUUUCAGAAGAAAUAGAAAUACAAAAAAGUUAUAUAUCUAUAGAAUAAGUAAAAGUUAAUAUCUAAAGAAUGAGAAUGAGUGAAAGAAUACCUUUACUGCUGACUCAGUACCAAGUUCCUUUAGAUCAUCAAAUUUCAUCACCUGAAACGACAUUUGAAAAGCACCCAGAUCAAUGAUGCAAACAUUGAACAUGUCUAUCAAUAUACAAGUUACUGUAAAAGCAAAAACAACAAUAACAGAAUGAACAAAGUUAAUGAAUCAAUCAUGAUAAGUAUAACUACAUAGCCGGUGAACACAUUCUCAUAAAUGGAAUGUUAAGCUAGAAAUAUUAACUGUUAGAUGAUGAUUGUAGAACAAACUUCAAUGAAUAGCAGUGUGGAUUGUCCCUUAUUAAGAAACCAUCUUUUAAAAGCAUGUUUCAAUAAGAUUCUUAUCAACUAGAAAGUCAUAUUGCAAGGGUGAAACAGCUUGAUUGGAAUCAUGAAGAAAUCUCAGUUUAAAUUUGCCAUGAAGGAACAGGAUUCCAUUAUGUAUUCAAUCCUAGAAGCUGAGGAUUCCUAUGUUUGAUCAUCAAAGAUAAAUAAAAAAUGUUGCAAUAAAUCCUUAGCAGAUAGUUUAAUUGUACAAUCAAUAUAUACAUGGAUGUCAUAAUGAUAAAUAAAUUAGUUCAAUAAGAGGGAGAAUAUGGCUGAACAAGAACAAGAAUUGUCCAAAAUCAAUGAACUAACCUCAGCACAAAUAAAUCCCUUUUCAAAAUCAGUAUGGAUAGCCCCUGCAGCUUGAGGAGCCUUUGUUAGGCGUCUAAUUUGCCAGCACUUAACCUGAAACAAACAAAUUAUAGCCACAAAAGUUAAGGCACCUAAAUCUGUAAUCUUAGACGUAUAACAACUGCACACAAAAAAAAUUCAAGCAAAAUACAAUUCUUAGCUCAUAAUAUGAAAAAGAACCACCUUGGUGCCCCAAAAAGGGAACAUGCGUCAAAGGAAAAGAUAGGGUGGAGGGAGGGAGGUUUUAACAAACAAGUGUGUUUCAUACCAGACCUUUAGUUUAUUUUCAUUUAAUGAUUUAAUCAUAUUUGAAUUUCCGAUAGUUUUGAUGAAAAAUAGGUAAAGAAGGGUAGAAUAAAUACAAGUCUUUGAGUGCAUCAUUCCACUUAUCAAUGAUACAAAUUGCACUGAUUCAUCCAUCCAUCGCAUGAUUCAAAUUCAUUUGAAAUUCAUCACACAAUUCAAGUAGUUAUAUUACCUUGUAUAGAACUGUGCAGUUCAAAUUGUCAAUAGUAAGAUUCUAGCAACUAUGGGAGAAACUAUUGAUUAUAGUUUGGAAUGUUUAUGAAACCAAUACCACAGCAUAUUCAUAAAUAUUUGAAAGACAAAAGUACAAAAGGAGAUAAACAGAUAUUCACCUCAUCAGGUCCUGCUGUGAAAAAGUAUAUGAGAUUGAUAGCUGAAAAUCCAGUCUUUAUUAUUUUGGGAAGAGCACUGCCGAAAUGAAGGAUAUAGCAAUUUUAGUAGCAUAUAAAUUAUGCAUGAAUUCUUCAAAAUUUAGAAUUAUUCAACAAUUUUUAAUGAAAACCAAGAUUAUUAAAAAAUAAAAAACAAAAAGUAAGGCAAUCAGGAUAAGCUACUGAUGUAGUAAUCUUAAUUGUGAUAAAAAAAAAUGGCAUUUAUUCUCAAAUUGUACAAAUGAGAACACAGUUAAUUCUCACUUCAAAAGCAUAUAGACACAUUGAAUAUGCAAGGAAACUAAAAUAAAACUAUUAUUUUAGACACGAGCAACUUUCAAAUUUGGAUGAAAAUGGCCAACAGUUCAUUGGUCUGACUAUAAUCAUACCAUGGUCAAACCAGCGAUAAAUAAAUAUAUUUUUUAAUUUAUAUGAUAAAUUGAAUAAUAAAGUAGAAUAAAAUUAUAAUAUAAAUAAAAAGUUGAAACUUUUGAAUGUAUUCCUUUUAACUCAAUGGUAGAGUAACGCCAACACUGGACUAGCAUUGGCAAAUUCAUCAUUGUUUAAUGAGUAGUGUCAAAGCUAUCAGCGAGACAACUAGAAAGAUAGAGCACUAUAAGAAAACCUCCAUCAAAGCCACCAUUUAUCUUUGAAAUUUCUUCAAAACUUAUUUCCAACAUCCUUGACCGCUCAUUUGUUGUUGCGCCUCGUGCAUGUACUGGGCAACCGUCAGGGCUCUGGGCAACCUAAAUGGUUUGGCUCUCUGAGUUCCCUGUUGGCGAUGUGUAUCUACCACAUAUGUCAAGGUAUGCAACACUCCAACACUUACGUUACCUCCAUGCUGCGGAGCAGUUUCGUAAGCGAUGUCUCCACAUCAAUAUAACAUUGUUCCAUGAACAUAGUUUUUUGAAGUGCUAUCACAUAUUAUGCCCACGACUUAACUAAAGGCAAACCUCUUCUCGAAUAGUUCAAGUCCGUUAAUGAGUGUAUCUCUACACAUUUCCGAUAUAGCAUUGUAAUAACUCUUUAUUCAGCCAUUGAGGCAUCUCAUUCGUCUGAUUUGGGGCAUUAGUUAUUGUCAAAACGUUCAACAUAUUCUCCUGCAACACAAGCUAAAAAAAUUUAAUUUCGAUGACCUCACACUCUAAUAGAUUAUUAGUUUAAUUUAUCUUACAUGAGUUCAAACGUCCAUAGGAUAAAUAGAUUGAUGACAAUGUGUCUAAAUAUAUAACGCGGACUUUUUCUCGUGAGGGCAUACGAUAUGGAGCUAUACGUACAAAGUUUAAUUAUUAGUCUGUCUAGCCAGCGCGCCUUAACAAUUACAUGCAUCAAGAGAAUGAUUACAUAAAGCUGCUCUUGUUCUGACGGAUAUCUGAUCACAUAAGUACUCAGUCCACAAAAAGGGGAAUUAUAUCUCCUCCCCUGGAGAGAUUAGCUUUGUAGUCUCAUUAAGUCAGACUCAACAUAUAAUCUCUCGUCGGCAUAGCUUGAUUUAACUAAGUAGCACAAUCGAACAGAGCGUCUAUUAAGAAAUGCUCUUAGCGCGCCCUGAGUAAUUACUGUGAGCAAGCUUUGUAUAUUGGAUGGAGAGGAGGCUGGUAGUGCAAUCUGUGAUGAACAUGUAAGUGGAUCAAUCGGAACUAUUAAGCUUUCUCAAGACGUGGAACACAUGACUCAAAAGAUGAUGGCUCAAGAGACUUUAAUGUCAUCAAUACUCCAGUAGUGUCUGAGCGCGUGCGUUAGCAGACACAAUCUAACAAUGGCCAAAAAGCUCGUGACCACAAUCAGAGCAGGCAUCUAUCACCAUGCAGGGACUUGGAGUCUGCAUCGGUGCAAGACUAAAACAUAAUAAAUCCUACAUGGGGAACAUGGGUAUCCCCAUCAAACAAGCUUAUCUAUAACGUCCCGUCUAAGUAACUUAGAGUUUUUCUCGGGUGGGAUCUAACUUUAAAAGUUUUAGCCCUGGGGGCUUAGACUGAAGUCUAACUCAAAGAUUUUUAAGUAUGUCUUGUCUGAGGACUUGAUAGAAGUCUCGAAGCCAACGACUCAACGCCUUCCGUCUGAGGACUUGUAAUACUCAACAGCCUAAGGCUCAACAUAUAAUUCUGCUGGGGGACUAAUUUUCCCAUCAAAUAGGACUAUCUAAACACCGGCUACCUAGUAACUUGAAAGUUUUCCAUCGGGGCAGGAUCAUAACUUAUAAGUUUAGCCCAAUGGGAGCAAAGCCAAAGCCUUGACUCAAGAUACUUUUGAUAAUAUCUUGUUUGAAAGGGGUUUGACAAGAAGUAUCCUCCGCAAUGGGCCCUCAACGUCUCUCUUAAGGAAUUGAAGACCUCAUCUCAAGACUCAAGAUAAUAUAUCCCACUGAGGGAUUGAGACUCUCAUCGAACAUGCUUAUCUAAACUCCCCACCCUUAGUAACUUGGAGUUUUUCUCUAGCGAGAUCUGAUAAUAAAGUUUAUCCCAGAGGAGGCAGGCAACGUAUUCUGGAAAUCAAGAGACUUAAAUAAAGUCCUUACUGAAGCCUCGGCCCAAGGGGCUCAACCGCCUCAGCUUAGGAGGACUUGGAUGUCCUUAAUCAGUCCCAAAGCUAAACAUAUAACCUGUCGCCUGAGGGACUGAGAAUUCAUAAAUUCAUGCUUAUCGUAAAUUCCCCGUAUGAGUAAGCAUGUAGUUUCGCUUGGGUGGAAAACCAAAACUUGCAUUUUAUCCCGCAAGGGGUGGCGACUCACAAAACUCCCUAAGCGAAGAGCAUUAUUAAGUAAAGUCUGUUUGGUCUACUGACGGAGCUCUGAUUGAAACAAAAAGAUACACGUCUAAGUGAGGAAUACAAACGUACUCUCUUAAUGGACUACGAUGGUUACACUUCUCCAUUAGAAUACCCAUCCCCCGCCCAAACCUUUCUCAUUAUCUUGAUCUAUAUUUGCUCCUGGGUUACUGUGCUUAUGUUUUUCUAUCUUUUUUCUUUUAGUCGAGAAAGUCGCUAUGUGCUUGAUGGGAUAGUGUAGAUAUCAUAUAUUUUGUAUAUAGAAUGACCACCAUUAAAGGCGGCACAUGGUUGACAAGGUUGGUACCAUACAAACAUGGUGACACAUCUCUGAUCGAGUGCGCCUCCAUUAAGGAUAUGUGAGAAGAUUGCCCUUGCCUUGAGUGGCUCCUUACUCGCUAUGUCGUUUGGGGGAAUAUGGGAAGAUGUUCCUUGGUUAGAGAGAAGUCAUGGUCAUACAAAUCUAACCUUCAUCUCCUAGGAAACAACGAUUCAAUGGUCCAUCAUUGAACUGUGGGUGGUUAUCAGUUUGUAGAAAACCUUAGGAGAAAAAUUCCCCUAUAAAUAUCCAACCUUAGGGUUGUAGGGAGAUCAUAACAUACUCAUAUACCGCAUAAAACACAUAUCCUACUUACCUCAUAUGAGUUUUUCUGUCUCUUUCUUUAUAGUCCAAAAACAACAAUCAACAUGGCAUUUAUCGCCAAAAUUGCAUACACGCUAACUACAGAAAUAACUACUAAAGGCCUCUGGUCAGCCCUAGCUAGCUUAGGGGUACACGCAACGAUCUGUACUUUUGACAAGUAAUAGUAGCUAGAAAAAGAAAAAUAAGAUUUUUCUUUAUGAAUUUUGUAUUUUUUUUAUACUUGUGAUACUUCACAGCAAAUGAUUUACGCAUUUCCUUUGAGAAAAGGAUAAAAGACAUGUCCCUAUCUAUAUUAAUAUCCUUAUUUCUAAAUAUGUGUCUUCUAAGACCUCGUCUCCAGGUAAACGAGAGUUUUAUUGUAGUUGUUGGGCUUUGUGAAAAAUUUUGUCAUAUUGUUAAAAGAGGCAUUGAAAAAAUAAAAAAAUUGGAUUCAAGAUAUUGAAUGAGGAAAUGUAAACACUUAAAAGAGUGGGACUUGAGAGACUAUUGAGAGAUAAAGAGUGUAAUAAAUCAAAUAGUUUACAGGUGGAUUUAUACUGUGAUAACACAAGCAUAUGACAGUAUUGAUUCGUUAGAAGGACAAAUAGUAGAAAAAGGGGUAUACUCAGAAAUAUGACAUCGAUUAUGAGGAGACAUUUUCUCUAGUGGAAAAGAUGAAUAUUGUUCAAAUAUUAUUUAUAUCUUGUUGUUCCAGCUCAGUUUGGAACUAUGACAAUUUGAUGUAAAAAAUGAUUUCUUACAUGGAGACUUGGAGAAGAAUGUGCAUAUGAAGAUUCGCAUCUGACUUUGGUCAAGGUGGGAACCGUACCAACUGAUGUGGUGUCAUUGAAAAAGGCUUAUAUGAAUUAAAGCAAUCUACAAGGCUUAGACUUGUUGGAAAUAAUUAUAAGGUCAUGGUGUAUUUGGGCCUACAAGCAAAGUCAAAGAGAUCACUAGCUUUUGUUUUUCAACAUUCACAAUUAUUUAAUGUUGAUGAUAAUAUUGUUAUAGGUAUAUUGAUUGAGAGGAAACUACUCAAAAAAAUUAUUAGUGAUGUUUGAGAUGAAAGACCUUGACAACUCAAAUAUUCCGUAGGCAACUGGAAGAUGUAACAUACUGUUAUACUCUAAGUCUAAAUUAUGUUAUAACAAUGUUGCAUUAAAUGAAAAAAAUAUGAUAGAACACUUGAAUGCAAAGUUGUCCAAUAAUUAAUGGGAUGCACCCACAUCAUGAAGUAAAUAGUUAUUGUAAAAAACAAUGUCGGAAUAACAAAGUAAUAAAUCCGUUCCUAUGAUUAGAGAAGAAACCCCACAAGGAUAGAAAAGAGGGAAGUAAGAAAACACAAUGAAAUUGGUUAUAAGAUGUUAUUAUUACUUUAUCAUGGGAAACAAGAUUACAAGUGUUAUAGAGUAGGCAAAUAUGCCUUUUUCACCCUAAGUUAGGAUUUGUGUUUAUGUAAUAGAUGAGAGACUAGUAUGGCUAAUUUAAUAAUAAAACUGCACAGCACUAACUAAUGGGUUUUUAUACACAACGCCCAAUACACAGAAGCUAACUUAGAGAAGCUGAUCUAACUUAAACAAUUGAGCGAUAACAAAACUAUGCUAAUUCCGACAUAAUUAACAUCCUAACAUACUUCGACUACAACAUGUGAACAUGACUUCAUUAGGCAUGCUAAUGAUCCUGUGCGGAUUAUCGAACCAAGAAGCUAUCCUAAAAGACAUACAUAGUUCGAUUUCGCAAUAUCUCCCAAAUCUUCACGCUUGAUACAAACUCUCUAAGCAUCAAAGGAAGGCAACUAAGCUUCCUUUAAUGCAACUAUUAAUCAACUGGCAUAUAGUGGAAAAAUCACGGCAACUUGGUAAUGUCUAAGUGAUCAUUCCGAGGCAACAUCGUGAUCUGUCGAAAACUUCAGCACUUGGAAUUCCCCAACGCAUAGUCUCGAUAGCCUUUCUGACGAAAUGCAGCCUCAGCAUUGAUGUGGGCUUGGUUCGCAUCAAUGAAUAGGCUGGAUUCUUCGACGGGUGUUAUAUCAAUUUGACAUCAAAUAUUAACAGUGAUAACUCGGGUCCUUGAAGUUUCAGCUCUUAGGAAAACCUUCAUAUGUCGCAUAAUGCUUCUUUCAACAGCUUUAAGUAAAGGCGAUAUACUCCCGGGUUCAGUGGUUGAUAAAAGAUAAUAAUCAUUCUAAAGUGUUCGCUUUCCAACUGACUGUGUGCAAAUAUAUGUGACACAUAUCUCAGAAAAUAGAUUUUCUGGAUCCAUAUAAGCCUGGCAUAACAGUUAGUCCGACAUACCCUUAUGCGUUUCUGUUUUACUAUUUCACCACUGCUCUACCAUAAAUCAGGACUCUAAUGUCGAGACGCCAUUUAUAUACCUUAGAAAUCCACUCAAUGGCUUUCCAAUAAGCGCUUUCUAGGAUUCAUCAAUGUACUUGCUUAUAAUACUUACUGCAUAUGUUAUGUCGGGUCUAGUACAAGACUGAAUUAUUUGACGAGAUAUCAUUCCAAUGCGAGUCCCUUGUAAUUUAUGAAUAAGCAUAUAUGAUGCCCUAUUUACAUAGAUAGAAUCUUUUCGAACCUACAGUACUCCGUGGACAGUGUUGUAGAGGGAGGUAUCGAAAAUAUAACCACUAUUAGAAAAUUUAGAGGUUUAGUGCGGAAAGUCAAAUUUAGAAUGCUUUCGCUUAUUCACAUGGACCAAUCAUAUAACUCAUGUCGAGAAUCUGUUCCACGGUAGGUAUGUCCUCUUGAGAUAGAGAAUAUUUUCGACUGCUUUAAUGUCUUUCGUAUGUCAAUCCUAAGAAUCCUAGAUACAACUCCAGAUCCUUCAUAAUUGAACUCGCUUAUUGAGUUUAUCCUUCACACUUCAUUAAGCAUCCUCGAGCACUGUUGCUUCGACCGUGCAAUGCGCAAAAAAAAAAGAAAAAAAAAAAUAUAUAAAAAAAAAAAAUAUGAGAAUAUCAUGGCCACAUAUAAGCAACAAAGUAACAAAUGAAUUUUGAGGUCGAAGUCUGAAAGUAAACUCAGUGGUUAACUAACUUCUAAUGAAACCUAAUGUGUGCCAUGAACUUUGUCGCAUCUUCUAUUUCCAUUAUCGAGAUUUGUUUCAGUCCAUAUAAAAGAUUAUCCAGCUUUGCACACAUAAUCUUGCCUUUCCUUGUUUCUACAUACCACUUUAGGUUUCCUCAUCAGGAUUCGUUUCAUCUAGAUCUCAAUAUAAGAACAUCUUCACACGGAUAUUAUUUGUUUCAAUUCUAGGUCGAAUUUGGUGCACCACUUAAAAACGGCAAGUAACAUUUGAACUGGACACUGUGCUUCAAACACAGGAUAUGAACACAUCAUUGAAGUUGACACCUUCUUUCUGAUGAAACCCGCUACGACCAAUCAUGUCCUUGUAUCUCUUCGCGAUGCUCACUGUCCGGUCUCCUCUUUCGAAAACUAUCCUUAAAUAACUUCUUGACAACUGACCACUUCACAAUAUAAUACUGAACAACAACCUAGCUCCAUCAGGCGUUUGCUUGAUCUAGUGAGUCUCUUCCGCAAGUGUGUGGGCUAUCAUGAAAAGACUUCAAGCUCAUGCAUCUUGACCGCUUUCUUCUUCCUAUUCAAUGCGCAUCUAUCAUGGCAUCAGACACUUUGUCUCAUACUCAUAGUUUCACAGUACACUUUGACUGGCGAUGUGUUUCCCUAAAGAAAUACGAUCAUGCGUCACGAAAAUAUAUUAAUAUAUGCUAUAUGAUCCUUUAGAUAUCGAUUAUUUAUGCGCAUUUCGUUGAAGAUAAUCCCAAUCCGACAAAAUGCUAAUCUAUGUGACAUGUAAUGUGCAGUGUAUGUGAUUGAGUAAGAAACUCAAAGCAUAAAAAUAACACAUUUUCAUAAUCACUUAUUUUCGUGCAUUUUUGUAAUUGAAGCAACAAUAUCAAUAUUACACCCCCCCGUCCGACCAUUAUCCAAAUAUGUUAUAAAGCGGGUAAUUAAUAAUAUAUAUUUACAAACAAUGAUAAAAUCACUUGUGGAAGACUGCAUCCGAGAAUAUACAAUUAUGUUGUCGGCCUUGUAAAUUAUAUACUUUUUUACAAAAUCAUACAUUAUCCGAAGAGUAUCUGCAUAUCUCUAUGAUCGCGCGCAGACACAGAAAUUAAAAACAGCGGAUACAAAUUGUGUCUGUCAAUGUAUGUCUCAUGGGUAGAUAAUCUUGUUUCUUUUAUUGUUUUUUUAGUAGGUUAAGGUGUCUAUAUAGCGAUUAGGUCCAGAGUUUUUCUCGCAAUAUUAAGUCCAACUUGCGUAUUUGAUCUUUUUGGCGGUUUGGGAUAUAAAAAAAAUCUGUUUUUAAAGCCAAAUUGUCAUCAGAUUAUCGAUUUUUGUUCGAUUCAUUUAGGAAAAUAUCAAGUAAUUCAUAAACGCUCACACUGGAAAUAAAUAGUUGUAGGAGACGAACUACCCUAAAAAAAUCAAAAUGGUCCUUAGUUUUCUAUGUUUAUCUGAUUUUUUCUGUUUUUGAAAGUUUGAAAAUUCGCGAAAAAAAUUCUCAAAAUUUUAAUGAACGUUAUUUCUAGAUUAAUUUCGGUGUUAGUUUAUUUUCUAAAAAUUUUAUUUUAAUCGUUUUCCUUCAUUGUGUUUGUUUUUUGACAAUGGGUCUGAUAAUAAGAAUCCUUAAGGCAGUUAGCUGCUCCUGAUGUGAAUUACAAUGGUUUGUGUAUUGAAUAUGAAUGUUGCGUCGUCUGUUCCUUUUGAAUUAAAAUUGGGUUUAAUACACUUGUUGCCUAAUGGUAAAAGUUUAUGUGGUCUUGCAGGUGAAAGAUCGCACAUUAGACAUCUCAAAGAUUUCAGGUUGUGUACUCUACAGCCCGUUGAGGCCUGAGGAAUAACUGAAUAUUAUCGUCUAAAAAAGUUAAUCUAUAAAACUUCGAGCUAUAAUUUCCUUUUUCAUAUGAGAAACAGGGUGGCAUGAAUUAGUGGGGAUGUGUUGGUGUUAUCUAAUUAUCCUUCUGUAAUGUCCAGGGAACUUCAAUUGCGCAAACCUGUUUAGUCUCAUGAGACCUGAAAAAAGUGUUCCAUGAUAAAGAUACUUUCCUGGCCGAAUAAAAUUACCAGGGCUGGUCCUCGAAUAAGAAGGAGAUAUUGUGGUAUUAAAAUAGUAGACAGCUAGCGUAAUGAGUCGUUUGUAAAUCGCGAGUAUUGGGAGAGGAGAUUCAAUGCGAGCGUCGGUAUAUCUAUUGCGCGCCUUCUAACUACCGAGGACGAGUUCAUCCAGAGAGAGCAACUAAUCUCGCAUCCACUACCUCUAGCAUUUACUGAGGGGAUUGUCUACCCAACCGGUGAAUACAACAGGUAAGUUUGUAAUAUUUUGAAUAGUGAUCAUAUGCCACUUAAAUUUAGCUUUGAUAAUUUGAGACCUCUAUUAACAGGCUUUAGUGGUGGAACGCAACUAGGUGCGAUAAAACUCCAGCUUCUGCAAAGCACUUAUUGAAAAUUGUCUCAUUAAUUCUCAGCAGUUCACUACUAGAAGAUAAAUUACGUGUUCAGCUAAGCAAAGUGCGCGUGAGUAGCAAAAUUCAGUUUCUUCGCAAACAAGGCUUUAGAGACCAGAAUUGACGAAACUCACCACCUUAGUCAAACAACUAGGUCAAGUAGUCAAAACCAUCAAAGCAGCAACUAGUUUGUGUGGCAAUUUGUACUUCUCCUGAGCAGCCCCGACCGAUACUUGUCCUAUUCUGAGAGACGAGUCGCAUUACUUAGAGUUGCCACAAGCUUAUGCAGCAUACACUUACGUCAAAAACAGGAUGACAAACAACAGUCCCUGACCUGUCGCUACUCAACAAAUAAAGCCAUGCCAAUCUGGUAGGAACCGAUCACGCAACCAUUCGAUAUGCGAAACCGCGCAAACCAGCCAACAAGCAGAACCAACUCAACCUCAAGAUGGCUGCCACAACACCUUCUGGACCAUCCCUCGAGGAUCUUGUUAAGGGCAAAUGGCGCGUGAAACAACCUCAAUCCAAACAAAGGACGCGAGAUGCUAGGCAUUACAGCACGCUUGAACAACUAGAUGGAGUUAAGAAACUGCUACUUUCAUUUACCAAUAGGAUUAUAAUUAAACAUCUGCAUAUAGCACAAAGCGAGUCGAUCACAAACUUACAAAACAAACAAUAUAUAUUAAUGGUCCUAAUAGCUAAUGUGAGCGCAAUUUCUUUGAGUCCGGAGAAAACUUACAGAACCAGCCCUAAAAAAAAUCUAAAAAUCAGCGCACCCACUCCACUCUCUUCUUUCUCCACUCAACCAUCGACACAUCAGUGAUAACUUCUUCUCCUUUCUUCUAUUUGUAAGGUCGAAACUGAAAGUAUUCUUCACAAGAAAAGGCAAGCACUGAUGUUGCGCUUGUCCAUCUCACAUUAGUCCCUGUCUUUCCUCACUAUAUGAGACUCUCCUAAAUUAAAAUCACCAAGAAUUGAGAGAUAGAAGACGAAACAAGAGAAGAUACAGAGAAUUUAGUUUUUACGAUCAAUGACCGAGAUAAGGAUAUCAUUAUCUUCUCAGUCUACAUUAUCCUGCAUUGAUUCUAUUUAUUUAUACAUUUUAAUAUAUUUGCAUCGCAUUUCUCUAUAAUAUCAUAGUGGCAAAAGUUUCAUAAAAGAUUUGUUAAAUUUUAUUAGUACGCAAACAAGAGGAGGAUUAAGGGAAUGCGAAAAAGUAAACUAGGAGAAAUAUUUCUGGCCUUUAAAAUUCAGGACCAACAAUCCAUCGCCAAAACCAGAUUGUAGGCGAGCAAUAAUGUUUUCAGCCCUCCAGCUACUCAGGUUCUGCCAAAGGGCACAAAAGCAGAAGGAUCCGAGAACAUUUGUUAUUCCAUUGUACGCAUCGGGGAUAGUAAAUUGAGAAUUGCAAUGCUUGAUUUGGGAGCGGGCAUUAAUGUUAUGGCCUACUUCUGUUUAUUAAUAACCUUUGUCUAUAGGUGCCUUUGCAGGCAAUAAAUGUUAUUAAUCAUUGCAUUGGCAAACUAGGAGGCAACGCUCAGACCCGCGGUGGGUAGUCGAGAAGAUGUUCAAUUGUUCAGUUAACGAUUUGAUUUUUCCUGCAGAUUAUUCUAUAUUCUAGACAUGAGAAGGAGAAACGCAAGAAAGGACGGAGCUCCCAUAUUUUAGGCAGACCGUAUCAUGGAAAACGGCGAAGACAAAAUUGAUGUUGAACGAUGGAAACCAUGUCCAUAGGAAAUUUGGUGACAUUGUCGCAAUAUAUUUAACAAUUUUGAUGCCAUGAAACACGGCAAUGUGAGAGGAGCAUAACUACCGUUUUUCUUUGGAGGCUGAUUCCUGAUUAGUUGAUGACUCUAGUUCUGAACUAUUUACGUUGACUUCCUCUCUCUCUGGUUGAUGAUAUUUAUAUCAUGUUCUGAUUGUACUGACAGCUAAACGUUUGAUGUUGUCUAUGCUGAAGAUUUGAUGCUGCUUACAGGCUGAUAACAUUUCCGACAGGCUGAAGUGUUACGGACCAAAUGAAACCUUGUUUUGUGCAGUUGAGCUCAUGGCAUUCCCGUCGCCGCUGCCCAGGCAUGCGCACCUAUCGACAGCCCCCCGUCAUUUCUUAGAGCUAAAAGAAGAUCCCUAAGAACCCUGAAAAUAUGCAUUACUUGGAGAGUAAGAGAAACUCCCCUGUUAUUAUCUCUUCUAACCUUGAUUUUCGAUCAAGAAAAAUAAGGCUUUUGAGGGCAGAUUUUAGAGGAAGCAUAAAAGGUGGCAUUUGGUUGGCACACUAAUGGCUUAACAUUCCUAAAGUCAUAAUGCACCUUUACGUGUCGCGGCAAUUUGACACUUUAUUAACUUUUUAGAAGGUUAUUUGAUCCUGGAAAAAAAGGACGAAGAUACUAAAAAAAAUUAAGUCAAUGGACAUUAACCCAAAGCUAUUCCAUGACACUCCCUGGCGCACUUUGGAAGAAGAAAAAUGUAGAAUAUAUCUCUUUGGGAAAGGCGUGCUUAUGAGAUCACACUAUCCACCUUGACUACUCGAGUGUGUUCUUAUCUCUCUGCUUUUCUCCCUUAUUUUAUGUUUUGUUUCUUUCAUUGAGGACAAUGAUAUUUUUAAGUGUAGGGGGAGGAUACUUUAAGUUUAUCAUUUGUUUUGUUCCAUUUGUUUGAUUUUUAUUCUUUCUAAAAAAAUUGCAAUCUUGCAUUGAAAGUAUUUAGGCUAUAGAAUUACUUUGAGCUCGAGUUUGCGAGACUUGAGAAAAUAAGAUUCACAAGAAUCGGAAUUGUUUUUAACAUCGCACGAAGUCUCUUGGCAUUGAAAUUGAGUUGAAAUUUUUAUUAUGUUUAGCCUUAAAUUCUGCAUUCUCCAGUGAACAGGGCUCAUUGAGUAGUUUAUUUCAGCAGUCAGCAACCAUCUCCACAACAAACACUCUACGCAGGGAAGCGAAUGAAUCUGGGAGAGGGCCGCGUAUAACACUGGCGAAAGCGUUACACAUGCAGAACACAGGAAGUGGAAGUGCAAAAACUUUUUGAUAGGAGCCGUACCGCAGAGAUUGAUGAUAAAGCCGAGAGAGAAUAAAAAUUAUCGAAUCCCCACGUUUCACUGUUAAUCUAAUUUAUUUAUACAUUUAACUUUUUCUCUCUCUUUAAUAAAUAGUUAGAAACAAUUUUGAAAAAAUAAUAAUUGAUGUUAUCUUGAACUUUGAAAAUGACAUUUAAAAUAAAACAAAACUUUUAUACAAAAGGAACACUAAAAAGGAACAUAGAGGGAGAGUAUUUUUUAUAAAAUGAAGGGGUGCAUAUUAGAUAAAGCCGAAGAUCCAUUUCCAAACUAAAUUAAAAAAAUGAAGUUAUUAUUUUGGUGUAGAAAUAGUGCAUAUAAAACAUGGUCAUUCAUCAAAAAAAUUGUAUAACAAGUAUAUAUUGAUUGAUCCAUCGUGCAAACACUCAAUAGCACAUCACUCAGGCAACAUUUAUGUAUUCAAAAC